AGGCGCGUAGCUCAGUUGGCAGAGCGCUGCCUUGACACGGUAGGGGUCUGGGGUUCAAAUCCCCACGCGCCUACCA
rnacentral:tRNA from 1 species